rnacentral:rRNA from 1 species
AUGUUUUUUUUGCCUUUUUUGUUCUUCUUUUCUGCCUUUUUUUUGUUUUCAUCCUCUUUUUCUUUUCUUUCCUUUUUUGCCAACACCCAGACGGGUACGCAGCAGGCCAACACCCAUACCCAGUCUGCUGCACUAAGCACUUGGAUUAUAUCCUUUGCUGUAGGUCUUUUCUCCAUAGCAGGGUCCACACAUGCUAUGGCUAUGACGAUGCAUAGUUCUACUUGUUGGCUAUAUUUUUCCAUUGAUAUAUACUUCGAUGUUGAUUUGAAUUUGUUCCUCCAACUUCUAAAUACCUACAAGUUUGCAACGGUAAAGCUAAAAUGA